UCGAGGAUCUUCGGCAAUGGGCGCAAGCCUGACCGAGCGACGCUGCGUGCGGGAUGAAGGCCUUCGGGUUGUAAACCGCUGUCGGAGGGGAGGAAAUAGUAGGGGGUUCUCCCCCUAUUUUGACCUAUCCUCGGAGGAAGUACGGGCUAAGUUCGUGCCAGCAGCCGCGGUAAGACGAACCGUACGAACGUUAUUCGGAAUCACUGGGCUUAAAGGGUGCGUAGGCGGCGCAGCAAGUUGGGUGUGAAAUCCCUCGGCUCAACCGAGGAAUUGCGCCCAAAACUGCUGUGCUUGAGGGAGACAGAGGUGAGCGGAACUUAGGGUGGAGCGGUGAAAUGCGUUGAUAUCCUAAGGAACACCGGUGGCGAAAGCGGCUCACUGGGUCUCUUCUGACGCUGAGGCACGAAAGCUAGGGGAGCAAACGG
rnacentral:rRNA from 1 species